rnacentral:rRNA from 1 species
CGACCUCAAAUCAGGUAGGACUACCCGCUGAACUUAAGCAUAUCAAUAAGCGGAGGAAAAGAAACCAACAGGGAUUGCCUUAGUAGCGGCGAGUGAAGCGGCAAAAGCUCAAAUUUGAAAUCUGGCACUUUCAGUGUCCGAGUUGUAAUUUGAAGAAGGUAUCUUUGGGUCUGGCUCUUGUCUAUGUUUCUUGGAACAGAACGUCACAGAGGGUGAGAAUCCCGUGCGAUGAGAUGUCCCAGACCUAUGUAAAGUUCCUUU